rnacentral:rRNA from 1 species
GAUGAACGCUAGCUACAGGCUUAACACAUGCAAGUCGAGGGGCAGCAUUUCAGUUUGCUUGCAAACUGGAGAUGGCGACCGGCGCACGGGUGAGUAACACGUAUCCAACCUGCCGAUAACUCGGGGAUAGCCUUUCGAAAGAAAGAUUAAUACCCGAUGGCAUAAUUAGACCGCAUGGUCUUAUUAUUAAAGAAUUUCGGUUAUCGAUGGGGAUGCGUUCCAUUAGGCAGUUGGUGAGGUAACGGCUCACCAAACCUUCGAUGGAUAGGGGUUCUGAGAGGAAGGUCCCCCACAUUGGAACUGAGACACGGUCCAAACUCCUACGGGAGGCAGCAGUGAGGAAUAUUGGUCAAUGGGCGCAGGCCUGAACCAGCCAAGUAGCGUGAAGGAUGACUGCCCUAUGGGUUGUAAACUUCUUUUAUAUGGGAAUAAAGUUUUCCACGUGUGGAAUUUUGUAUGUACCAUAUGAAUAAGGAUCGGCUAACUCCGUGCCAGCAGCCGCGGUAAUACGGAGGAUCCGAGCGUUAUCCGGAUUUAUUGGGUUUAAAGGGAGCGUAGGUGGACAGUUAAGUCAGUUGUGAAAGUUUGCGGCUCAACCGUAAAAUUGCAGUUGAUACUGGCUGUCUUGAGUACAGUAGAGGUGGGCGGAAUUCGUGGUGUAGCGGUGAAAUGCUUAGAUAUCACGAAGAACUCCGAUUGCGAAGGCAGCUCACUGGACUGCAACUGACACUGAUGCUCGAAAGUGUGGGUAUCAAACAGGAUUAGAUACCCUGGUAGUCCACACAGUAAACGAUGAAUACUCGCUGUUUGCGAUAUACAGUAAGCGGCCAAGCGAAAGCAUUAAGUAUUCCACCUGGGGAGUACGCCGGCAACGGUGAAACUCAAAGGAAUUGACGGGGGCCCGCACAAGCGGAGGAACAUGUGGUUUAAUUCGAUGAUACGCGAGGAACCUUACCCGGGCUUAAAUUGCAUUUGAAUAUAUUGGAAACAGUAUAGCCGUAAGGCAAAUGUGAAGGUGCUGCAUGGUUGUCGUCAGCUCGUGCCGUGAGGUGUCGGCUUAAGUGCCAUAACGAGCGCAACCCUUAUCUUUAGUUACUAACAGGUCAUGCUGAGGACUCUAGAGAGAUUGCCGUCGUAAGAUGUGAGGAAGGUGGGGAUGACGUCAAAUCAGCACGGCCCUUACGUCCGGGGCUACACACGUGUUACAAUGGGGGGUACAGAAGGCAGCUACCUGGUGACAGGAUGCUAAUCCCAAAAGCCUCUCUCAGUUCGGAUCGAAGUCUGCAACCCGACUUCGUGAAGCUGGAUUCGCUAGUAAUCGCGCAUCAGCCAUGGCGCGGUGAAUACGUUCCCGGGCCU